ensembl:antisense 4930425K10Rik RIKEN cDNA 4930425K10 gene
AAAGGGUUACUCUUGUCAGGGUUCAGUUUACAUGGACGUGGUGUCCCAAGGUGUUCUGGAGCAGUGAAUACAUGUCAAUCAGUGCUUCUAAGGAAAGCAUUGAUUGGAAUAGACUCAGGUCUAUAGGCUGUGAUGUCCAAGAUGCUUCAUUCUAUGUGUGGUGAAGGACUUCCCUAAAUCCACUGGGUGGUGAUGGAGAGAUGAUAUAAGGAGAGGUUAAUUGUGAAGAUGGAAGAAGAGGAACGGGAAUAGCAGGAGAGCCCCAGGACACAGACACCAUAGUGGGAGAACCACAAGGCGGAGCCUCUGCAACACUUGAUUUCACACUCUAGUGAAGAGAAGCAAGUACUUCAAUCUGCUUCAUUGCCCCAUCUUGCCAGAGCAUUAAAUGCUUCACAGAAUGAAAACAGAAAAACCACAAAUUGGCAUUUUUAGAAACCACUGAAGUGAACUUUGCCUCCCGUAGAGAUGUGGAGAGAACUGGGAAGGAUUCACUGAUUAAACGGACCUGUAGUCAGAUGUUUGAAGCCGCUUCUACUCUCAGCUUGCCUGGGAAGAUGAAGAAAGCAAGAAACAGCUACCUAGUACUCAACUCCCACGGAGAACACACAAAGGAAAAGCUUGUCAUGUGGAUUUCUCCUCCAUCAAAAGAAACGUUUUCUGUCAUCCAAGGAGUAAAACUGAACCUUGUCUUUUUUCCCUUUGCAAAAUAAACUGACUUGUUAGUCUGCAACCAUGCAAUUAG